rnacentral:rRNA from 1 species
GCUGAACGCUGGCGGCGUGCCUAUACAUGCAGUCCGAGCGAACUGAUUAGAAGCUUGCUUCUACUGACGUUAGCGGCGGACGGGUGAGUAACACGUGGGCAACCUGCCUGUAAGACUGGGAUAACUCCGGGAAACCGGAGCUAAUACCGGAUAACAUUUUCUCUUGCAUAAGAGAAAAUUGAAAGAUGGUUUCGGCUAUCACUUACAGAUGGGCCCGCGGUGCAUUAGCUAGUUGGUGAGGUAACGGCUCACCAAGGCAACGAUGCAUAGCCGACCUGAGAGGGUGAUCGGCACACUGGGACUGAGACACGGCCCAGACUCCUACGGGAGGCAGCAGUAGGGAUCUUCCGCAUGACGAAGUCUGACGGACAACGCCGCUGAGUGAUGAAGCUUCGGUCGAAAACUCUGUGUAGGAGACAGUACAGAGUACUGCUGUCCUGACGGCCUACCAAAGCCGGUAAUACUUGCAGAGCGGUAUCUAGUGGAGCUUUCCGAUUUUGGGUAACCCGCGGGUUUUUAUCUAUGAACCCCGCCCCGGGGUUUUGACUGGACUGGGAAAAAAGCAAUUCCCUUCGAAUGCUAUUGAGACCCCUGCAGCUUUUUUUCUCUCAGCCACGUGGGACAAAUACCCUGCGCCCACAAAGGGAGAGGGUCCCUUGGACACAAAAACCCCGGGG